UAGGGAAUCUUCCACAAUGGACGCAAGUCUGAUGGAGCAACGCCGCGUGAGUGAAGAAGGUUUUCGGACCGUAAAGCUCUGUUGUUGGUGAAGAAGGAUAGAGGUAGUAACUGGCCUUUAUUUGACGGUAAUCAACCAGAAAGUCACGGCUAACUACGUGCCAGCAGCCGCGGUAAUACGUAGGUGGCAAGCGUUGUCCGGAUUUAUUGGGCGUAAAGCGAGCGCAGGCGGAAGAAUAAGUCUGAUGU
rnacentral:rRNA from 1 species